rnacentral:rRNA from 1 species
CCUACGGGAGGCAGCAGUGAGGAAUAUUGGUCAAUGGACGAGAGUCUGAACCAGCCAAGUAGCGUGAAGGAUGACUGCCCUACGGGUUGUAAACCUCUUUUAUAAGGGAAUAAAAUGUUCCACGUGUGGGUUUUUGUAUGUACUUUAUGAAUAAGGAUCGGCUAACUCCGUGCCAGCAGCCGCGGUAAUACGGAGGAUCCGAGCGUUAUCCGGAUUUAUUGGGUUUAAAGGGAGCGUAGGUGGAUUGUUAAGUCAGUUGUGAAAGUUUGCGGCUCAACCGUAAAAUUGCAGUUGAUACUGGCAGUCUUGAGUACAGUAGAGGUAGGCGGAAUUCGUGGUGUAGCGGUGAAAUGCUUAGAUAUCACGAAGAACUCCGAUUGCGAAGGCAGCUCACUGGACUGCCACUGACACUGAGGCUCGAAAGUGUGGGUAUCAAACAGGAUUAGAUACCCUUGUAGUC